GUGCCAGCCGCCGCGGUAAUACAGAGGGUGCGAGCGUUAAUCGGAGUUACUGGGCGUAAAGGGCGCGUAGGCGGUGAUAUGAGUGUGGUGUGAAAGCCCCGGGCUUAACCUGGGAAGCGCAUCGCAAACGAUAUGACUAGAGUAGAUGAGAGGGUGGCGGAAUUUCCGGUGUAGCGGUGAAAUGCGUAGAGAUCGGAAGGAACGUCAAUGGCGAAGGCAGCCACCUGGCAUCAUACUGACGCUGAGGCGCGAAAGCGUGGGGAGCGAACAGGAUUAGAUACCCUUGUAGUCC
rnacentral:rRNA from 1 species